rnacentral:rRNA from 8 species
UACGUGAAACCGUUCAGGGGUAAACCUAAGAAACCCAAAAGAUCGAACGGGGAGAUUCAUCGUCAGCGUCGCUGGCUUCGCGUCGGUGGGCGAUGGGCGCGCGGUUUCACCGCGCGUGCACGCUACCGUGCGCGCAUGUCCCGCGUCGUCGUCGUGCACUUCUCCCCUAGUAGAACGUCGCGACCCGCUGGGUGUCGGUCUACGGCCCGGGUGAGGCGGCUGUCGCGUCGCCGGUAAAACGGCACGCGGCAAACCCUCGGUCGCCCGGCCGGCUGCCCGGCGGUACUCGCACGGUAUCAGGCCGCAGUCAAGUCUGCGUCGAGCCCGUCGCAAGCGCGCGCCACGGUUACUCGGAGGUACGGACCUAGCGCCGUCCCCGGUCCUGGCCCGCUGUUGGCCGACGGUGAUCCUUCGACAGGCCUCACGGGGCGUGUUCGCGCGCCCCGAUACCGGUCGGCGACGCUACUGCUUUGGGUACUCUUAGGACCCGUCUUGAAACACGGACCAAGGAGUCUAACAUGUGCGCGAGUCAUUGGGACCAGCAAAACCCAAAGGCGCAAUGAAAGUGAAGGUCGGCCCUGGCGCCGACCGAGGGAGGAUGGGCCGCGUCGCGACGCGGCUCCGCACUCCCGGGGCGUCUCGUUCUCAUCGCGAGAAGAGGCGCACCAAGAGCGUACACGUUGGGACCCGAAAGAUGGUGAACUAUGCCUGGUCAGGACGAAGUCAGGGGAAACCCUGAUGGAGGUCCGUAGCGAUUCUGACGUGCAAAUCGAUCGUCGGAACUGGGUAUAGGGGCGAAAGACUAAUCGAACCAUC